CAGUCGCCGCGGUAAUACGUAGGGUGCGAGCGUUAAUCGGAAUUACUGGGCGUAAAGCGUGCGCAGGCGGUUUUGUAAGACAGGCGUGAAAUCCCCGGGCUCAACCUGGGAAUGGCGCUUGUGACUGCAAAGCUGGAGUGCGGCAGAGGGGGAUGGAAUUCCGCGUGUAGCAGUGAAAUGCGUAGAUAUGCGGAGGAACACCGAUGGCGAAGGCAAUCCCCUGGGCCUGCACUGACGCUCAUGCACGAAAGCGUGGGGAGCAAACAGGAUUAGAUACCCCUGUAGUCCCUGUCUCUUAUAC
rnacentral:rRNA from 1 species